UAAAUAGGAUACUACCUGAUGGAUUACCAGUUAUAAAUCCUUAUAGUUGAGUUUCAUGGGAAAAUAGUUUUCUUGAAGUAGAAUUCAGCUGAUUCUUUCAGCAGGGACAUUCCUUUUAUAAUAUACUGCUUAUGCUGCUAAUUUAAAUAUUCUACUUGAUUUUUAAAAAUAAUGAAAACAUGAAACUUUAUCUUAAUUAUUAUUAUUGACACCAUUCCUAAAUUAAUAUGGUUUUAAUUUGGCUCUUUUGGUUAUGAUCACUAUUUUCAUGCUUCUAUGGCCUAAU
rnacentral:lncRNA from 1 species